CUAUCGGACCUCUGGUAGCACUGUGGGUUACGGCAACAACCGGAAGUUCCGCACAAAAGGUACCAGUACCGAUAUGGGUCCUUGUGUACGGUGGUAUCGGAAUUUCUGUCGGGUUGUGGGUUUUGGGACGACGUGUUAUGAAAACGAUGGGGGAAGAUCUUAGCAGAAUUACACCAUCAAGUGGUUUUUGUAUUGAAGUUGGAAGUGCAUUGACCGUCAUCGUAGCGUCAAAUAUCGGGAUCCCGAUCAGCACGACGCAUUGUAAAGUCGGUUCAGUCGUCAUGGUGGGAAGAGUAAGGUCACGUGAGUCUGUUGAUUGGAAACUCUUUAGGAACAUCAUUUUAGCGUGGUGCGUUACACUUCCGGUUUCCGGCGGAUUAAGUGCGCUCGCGAUGCUGGGUUACAGAGCAAUUUUAAACGCUGUUAGAUGAAAGGAAAUGAGGAAAGUUCAAUCAUCCUGGUGGAAUUCUACUCACAAUCAAGUUAAUAUUUUAUGUCAGCAGUUUUAUUACAAAAGAAAAGCCUGAUAAAACAUUAAAAAUGGUUAUGAAAGUUUGUAGCUGGCAUUAAGUUAGAAUGUUAUCUUUGGUUGUAAAAGUGCAAGGAUAUUUUUAUACAAAGUUAUUGCCAAUAUAUUCCCUGGUAUUAUCACAUAAUACCCUUUUCAAUGUCAUGAUUAUGCGGAAAAUUAUGUCGUAUCGACAUUAUUAAUUUAAUUUACCAAAAUACCACGUGUAAAUUUAUUCAUUUCUUUUAAUAUAAAUGUGUAAUAUUAGAAUUAUGUAAUGUUUGUGGUCAUGUACAACAAAGGGAUUCGAAUACAGAACAGGCUCAAUUAUCAUACACUCGAUAUUGAAAAGACAGUGUCCAAUAUACAAUUCAUAAUGUAUAUUUUCAUGUAUACAUGUAUUUUUUAAUCUAUUCUUUCAUGUCUAUGUCUUUGUAUGUCUAUUUUUAUGUCUAAUUAAAUACAUAUACUCCUAUAUACGUUAUUUUCACACAAAAAAGCCAGUAAAACACAUUUUUAAAGAUAUAUGAGAAAGAUGGACUAAUCCAUUUUGAGAUAUUUAGCGGGGUGGUAAAGGUUUAAAAAAAUCUAACUUACAUAAUGUAAGGUUAUGUUAUACACACUUUAUGAAUCAUAUACAUAUACAUAUACAAUGUACAUUGCUCUUUUACUUACUAUGUUCUUUCUUUACUAUAAUUUUAAAAUAUUAUAAUUAUCAUAUAUCAAAUUAACUAUUUUAGUGUUUUUGUUUUUUACCUAUUAUACAUGUAUUCAGGAAUUUCAAAAAUUAUUUGUAAUAAACUUUAAAAAUAAAGAACUUACAUUGA